UCGGAAGGAGUGAACUCUAAAUCCUUUCACGAGGAUCAAUUGGAGGGCACGUCUGGUGCCAGCAGCCAUGGUAACUCCAGCUCCAAUAGCGUAUAUUAAAGUUGCUGCAGUUACAAAUCUCGUAGUUGGAUCUCGGUAUUACUGUCACCUGCCAGUCAUCAGCUGAUUUUUUCGGUGAAGGUGGGACCUUGCAUCGCUCGGUGCCCCUUGCUUAGACAUGGUUAUACUCGAGUUUGCGUGGUGGUGGUGUCACAUUUCAUCAAUGUCCUUGGUUAAAUACCCGCAGGUGUAGGUGAGUGUAAGGCGGUGCUCUGCGACAUUAGGGUCCGUCGGCUUGUCUGCAAGCCCUUGCAUGCCCUUAAAAAAUGUGCCUUUGGGCUGAUAACACGGUAACUUUGAACAAAUUUUGAGUGCUCAAACCAGGCCGAUGUCGCCCGAAAUGUUUUGCAUGGAAUAAUGGAUUAGAAUUUGGGGUCUAUUUUGUUUGUUUUCGGGUCUGAAUUAACGAUCAAAAGAGACAGGCGGGGACGUUUUUAUGGUUG
rnacentral:ncRNA from 1 species